UACGUAGGGACCGAGCGUUGUCCGGAUUCAUUGGGCGUAAAGGGUGCGUAGGCGGCGCGGUAAGUCGGGUGUGAAAUUUCGAGGCUUAACUUCGAAACUGCAUUCGAUACUGCCGUGCUUGAGGACUGGAGAGGAGACUGGAAUUUACGGUGUAGCGGUGAAAUGCGUAGAUAUCGUAAGGAAGACCAGUGGCGAAGGCGGGUCUCUGGACAGUUCCUGACGCUGAGGCACGAAGGCCAGGGGAGCAAACGGG
rnacentral:rRNA from 1 species